rnacentral:lncRNA from 1 species
UUCUUCGAAAAACUCUAUUUCUCUUCCUCUCUUCCGCAAAACUUCGCCAAGUGAUUUCGCCGACGUUUUUUAACCAAAUCGGAGAGUUCUGCUUCGAAAUCGGAGAGGAUUCAGGUGUUUAAAGUCUCUUGAAACGCCAACGAUUUGUUUAAGGUAUGUAUUCGAGUCGAAUAGAACUUGAUUUGGAGAAAUUAGGGUUUUCGCAAAUUGGGGAUAAAUUUCAGUUCCACUAAAAUCGGUCUUCCGAGAUCGUUUAGGGUAAUUAGAACCUGCAAACCUGUAUUUUUGAUUUGAUAUGUUAAACGAUUUCAUGGUUAAGAUGUGAAGCAAUUUCAAAAAAUCAUCUAACAUCUGGGUUGUCGGAUUUAUGGAUUUAGCGAAUGGUUUUGGUUUGAUUAGUGGAUUUAGCAAGCUGUAUCAUCUGUUAAAUGAUGAUUUGAACAUGGAUUUGGGAUUUACCGAGUGAUUUCAUGUGUUAACCGAUGCUCAUUUGAUUUAGCUUGUAGUCAUUGAUUUCUUUGACAUUAGGUUGGCUUAUGUAACAAGAACAUGCUUUAUCUGUUAUGUAACAAGAACAUGCUUUCCUUAGAGAAUAUAUAAGCUAGUAUUUACAGCCAUUUCCUUUGUCUUUAAGUAGGUUUUUUCUAAACCCAGCUACUCUCUAAGUUUUAGUUAACUCUGUUGUAUUAAAAAGUCUUGUAAGCUAUGCUAUGUAGUCUCGAAGAACUGUUGUUUAACUUUUGGUAAUGAGGCAAUGUUAUGGUUAGUAUUGGUUCCAUAUUGUUAUUGGUUUCGUGUUGCAUCUGCGGUUUGGUUCUUGGGCAUCUGUUUCUAGUUUCAUUUCCCUUUUGCAGAUUAGAUUGACUGUACUUGUAUUAAUGCUAUUCAUUUUUUUAAUUGCUUUGAGGUGAAUUGGAGUAAAUUGUGGCGUAAUGAAAGUAACUACCAGAAGUUGGUUCACGUCUGCUUCGUAUUUAAGGUUAGUCUUCAAUCUGUAGUUAUGUGUAUGACUUGUUAAUAAGUUUUAAGGGUUAAGGUCUUGUCAUUACCAUAAAUGUUUGUUUGGUGAGUAGUUAAGUGUCUGUUAUUAUUGCCGUGACAGUUUGCUGGUUAGAGUAGGUUAGCGAGUUAAUGGUAGUUAAAGUUAAUAAGAUUUCCCUCUAUAAAAAACACAAAACAAACCAAAACACACAACAGAAAACAAAACUUGAAUAAACCUAACUUAAAAAGUUCUUCCAAGUUCUUCCUUCUAAACCCUUCUUUGUUAACGUUUUUAAGUUCUUCUUUCUAAACUUCUUCCUUGAAUACCCUUUUCUCUUUUUAAUCCUUUACACAAAGAUGGAUUCCACAAACCCUGCCUUGACUGGUUUUGUUAACCUACUAACCAGUCAACAAGAAAACCAAUACACUUUCCCAACAACCAUCGAGCUUGGAUCAGCCGAACCUAGGUUUAGCCAGUUUACACUUGAAGAACAAAAUCAAUGUGGGAAAUGAAGAGACUGGACUUAGACCUGAAAGACAAAAUUUCGAAGAGGAGAUUGCUUGACAGACUUCUCGUAAAAACUGAACCACUGACUGACAAAGAAUUGGCUUUGAAAGACAUACUCAUUAGCGAGAUGUUGUAGAACUUUGUCUGUUUUACUUGUUUUCAAUAUGUGUACUUGUUUUUGUUUGUCUUUGUGCUAUGUUGCUGAAUUAGGUGUUCAUGUACUUCGUAUUUGUUCUUGUUCUAUGCCAUAAUGAAUUUUUUGUUUGAGUGUGUACUUUGUUGUAUUAGAUUUAAUUUGUGUUUGUUGUACUUGUUGUUAUUCAAUGGCUUUGUACUUUGCAGAUAUUUAUGGAGAGUCAUCGAAUACAAAGCUUCUUUUGUUUGUGGAGUAGAAACUCCAGCUUUUGGUGUUUUGCAGAGGCAUCGCUCACGGGUGUUUUGCAGUGGAGAGGCAUCGCUCACGGGUGUUAAACUUGUGGAGUAGAAGCUCCAGCUUUUGGUGUUUUGCAGAGUCGUGGAAUCUAUACAAAGCUUCUUUUGUUUUCAUUUGUCACGGGCUUUUCUAUCUUUUGUAACUUGUAUUUUUUGUAACUUGUCAUUUCUGUAACGUGUAGUUUCUAAUCCACACAAUAUCAGGGAUUGUAAGCCACAAAAAGUUCACCACUUCUCUUAUUUAUACGAUCAUUGGUGCUCUUCAAACACA